AUAUUUUAGCUCUUCGCUUUUCUGUGUCGUUAAGUUAAGAAACUCGGGGGGGGAAUCGAUGGAGAAACACUUAGAAACUGCGACUAGAAAUGCCAUAAAGCAGCCGGACUAACUCGCACUAUCAAUGAGCGUGACAAAAGCGAGAUCACUAAUGGUGCGAUGAGAGCAGAGCUCAGUACAGUGAACAACUGCUACUAUGAACCAUAAAUGUUUCCACCUUCGUCAUGUAUGAAAGGGAUGCAAGAAAAAAUAGCAAAUAAAAAUCAAGUAGCGAGUAAAAUGGAACAGUAACGAGUGCCAAGUAACAAGGCUCACCUGCACCUAACAAGGAACAACC
rnacentral:lncRNA from 1 species